GACUGUGCUAAGGUAGCAUAAUAAGUUGGCUUUUAAUUGGAGUCUAGGAUAAACGGGUUUACGGAUAGAUUCUGUCUCAUUAGGACCCCUUUGAAUUUUCUUAAGGGGUGAAAAUUCCCUUAUUUAAUAUGAUAGACGAGAAGACCCUUAGAGUUUUGAAGAACAAGUGCGAUAUUUUACUUUCACUUUUUGUUGGGGCGACAUAUAAGCAUAAUUUCAACCUUCUAUUAUAGGAUUUGUACAAGCGUAUAAUUAUAUAAGAUAAAACUACCUAAGGGAUAACAGCAUAAUUUAAUUCUUAAGAUUGUGACCUCGAUGUUGGACUAGGA
rnacentral:rRNA from 1 species